AUGUCGUCUAUUGAGGGCCAACGACGGUCAGGCCGGGCAGCAGCGGCGAUCAGUCUGGUCUGUAAGACGCAGCCAUCACCGAUUGAGGGCCUUGGAUUUUAUAUGUAUUCCUUAAUUAUAUGCGGCAGGAGCGGCAACCCAGAUAGAUUCGUCUCUUCUGUGUUAUCUUUGGUUUGCAAGGCGCGUGGCAACGUUAGCAACCUGAGGGAGAUGGGAAAAGACGACCCUGAUGUUGCAUGUGCACGCCUGAACCAUGUCCAACCAAAGCAGGGAGCAGAGAAGAGCAAUAUGUGGUGGUCUGCGUCGCCUUUAGUUGGGACCUGUACCUGUAGGAAUAAUUAUGUUUCCAUGGUUGAGAAAAGGUAUGAUGCACGGACUUCUAAUAUUUGUAUGUAA
rnacentral:rRNA from 1 species